GGACGAACGCUGGCGGCGUGCUUAACACAUGCAAGUCGAACGGAAAGGCCCUGCUUUUGUGGGGUGCUCGAGUGGCGAACGGGUGAGUAACACGUGAGUAACCUGCCCUUGACUUUGGGAUAACUUCAGGAAACUGGGGCUAAUACCGGAUAGGAGCUCCUGCUGCAUGGUGGGGGUUGGAAAGUUUCGGCGGUUGGGGAUGGACUCGCGGCUUAUCAGCUUGUUGGUGGGGUAGUGGCUUACCAAGGCUUUGACGGGUAGCCGGCCUGAGAGGGUGACCGGCCACAUUGGGACUGAGAUACGGCCCAGACUCCUACGGGAGGCAGCAGUGGGGAAUAUUACACAAUGGGCGGAAGCCUGAUGCAGCAACGCCGCGUGCGGGAUGACGGCCUUCGGGUUGUAAACCGCUUUCGCCUGUGACGAAGCGUGAGUGACGGUAAUGGGUAAAGAAGCACCGGCUAACUACGUG
rnacentral:rRNA from 1 species